rnacentral:rRNA from 1 species
GACGAACGCUGGCGGCGUGCUUAACACAUGCAAGUGGAGCGACGAACCAGGGCUUGCCCUGGGGCAGAGCCGCGAACGGGUGAGUAACACGUGGGUAACCUGCCCAGAUGACCGGGACAACCCGAGGAAACUCGGGCUAAUACCGGAUGUGUUCACCUCACAUCAGUGAGAUGAGGAAAGGAAGCUUCGGCCUCCGCAUCUGGAUGGGCCCGCGGCCCAUUAGCUAGUUGGUGAGGUAAUGGCCCACCAAGGCGACGAUGGGUAGCUGUUCUGAGAGGAAGAUCAGCCACACUGGGACUGAGACACGGCCCAGACUCCUACGGGAGGCAGCAGUGGGGAAUCUUGCGCAAUGCGCGAAAGCGUGACGCAGCAACGCCGCGUGCGGGAAGACGGCCUUCGGGUUGUAAACCGCUUUCAGUUGGGACGAAGCUUCGCCGGUGAAUAGCCGGCCGGAGUGACGGUACCUUCAGAAGAAGCCCCGGCUAACUACGUGCCAGCAGC